AAAAUCCAAUGUGCCACUUUGAAGGAUACAGUCCUUCCAUAACAGAGAAGGCUUUUGAACGAUUUGCAAAGAUGGGGCUCUUGAAUUGGAUCUUUGACUGGGCAUCCGAAUUGUGCUUUAGGACAUUUGCAGAUCCGCCCGCACAUUGAAAGUCAGUAACGGGCUAUUGGCCAUCCACAAAUCAACCAAUGGAGGAAAAUUAGCUGCCACACAACGCAAAGGAGAUGCCCACAAUAGCAGCCACUCCAUGUAUGAACCCCAAGAGGAAGAGAAAAAA
rnacentral:misc_RNA from 1 species